rnacentral:rRNA from 1 species
UACGUAGGGAGCAAGCGUUGUCCGGAAUCAUUGGGCGUAAAGCGCGCGUAGGCGGCCUCAUAAGUCCGUUGUGAAAGUCAAAGGCUCAACCUUUGAAAGCCGAUGGAUACUGUGAGGCUAGAGUCCGGAAGAGGCGAGUGGAAUUCCUGGUGUAGCGGUGGAAAUGCGCAGAUAUCAGGAGGAACACCAAUAGCGAAGGCAGCUCGCUGGGACGGUACUGACGCUAAGGCGCGAAAGCGUGGGGAGCGAACAGG